rnacentral:rRNA from 1 species
AGAAUCAUUCACAAUGGGGGAAACCCUGAUGGUGCAACGCCGCGUGGAGGAUGACGGCCUUCGGGUUGUAAACUCCUGUCAUCUGGGAGUAAGCCUUGUCCGUUAAUAGCGUGCAAGGUUGAUAGUACCAGAAGAGGAAGGGACGCCUAACUUCUUGCCAGCAGCCGCGGUAAUACGAAGGUCCCAAGCGUGUUUCGGAAUCACUGGGCGUAAAGCGUGCGCAGGCGGCGCGGAAAGUCAGAUGUGAAAUCUCUGGGCUCAACCCGGAAACUGCAUCCGAUACUCCCGCGCUAGAGUAAUGGAGAGGUAGCUGGAAUUCUCGGUGUAGCAGUGAAAUGCGUAGAUAUCGAGAGGAACACUCGUGGCGAAGGCGAGCUACUGGACAUUUACUGACGCUCAGGCACGAAGGCCAGGGGAGCGAA